UACGGGGGGAGCAAGCGUUGUUCGGAUUUACUGGGCGUAAAGGGCGCGUAGGCGGUCAGCACAAGUCAGUUGUGAAAUCUCCGGGCUUAACUCGGAAAGGUCAACUGAUACUGUGCGACUAGAGUGCAGAAGGGGCAACUGGAAUUCUCGGUGUAGCGGUGAAAUGCGUAGAUAUCGGGAGGAACACCUGUGGCGAAAGCGGCUCUCUGGACCACAACUGACGCUGAGGCGCGAAAGCUAGGGGAGCAAACAGG
rnacentral:rRNA from 1 species